GAGGACCCUGAAAAUUUUGAGACACUUUCCAUCAUCUUUAACAGGUUGGAGCACCGCCCGAGGUGAUUGCUAGACUGGAAGAAGCUUGCUCAUCAGCAGCCGCAAUGGGCCACAUGAGCACCGGCUGCCUCGGCGAAGAUCCGGCUUUGGAUCAGUUCAUGGAGGCAUACUGCGAGAUGUUGACCAAGUACGAGCAAGAGCUCUCAAAACCCUUUAAGGAAGCCAUGUUUUUUCUUCAAAGGGUCGAGUGACAAUUCAAAGCUCCGUCGCUUUCUUUGGAUUCUGGUGAUCAUAUAUAUAACUUCCCAUCUCUUUGAUUUGGUUAAUUAUUAGCAUUUUGUUUUUGGUAGAUUUCCAACUUUUGACUGACUUUGAUACAUUUACUUGGUUCAUAUAAAAUAAUAUUUUUGAAUGGUUAGCCAGUAGCCAUUUAGGUAUGUCUGUUUCCAAGAACCACAUAUAUAUAUUUAUAGGUUUAAUUUAAUAAUAUAUGUGGAAAAGAUUGUUCUGUGAAGCUUGUGCUUGACUGCCUUGUUCCUUUUUUUUUUUUUCUAUUUCUAGUCUCUCUCCUUGGGGUCAGGAAGCCCAUGGUAAGAUUUGUGAUGCUCAUAACAUUGGUUUCACAAUCUAUGAUGUUGUUGUUGUCCUCAUUGUUACUUUAUCUUGGUUCUGGGACCAUACAGAUUGGAUGCCAAUUGAUUCAGUUAUUGACAGAAACAACUUAUAUACAACCUCCAGUUGAUCAAUUAGGUGAUACUCCACCGGAUAUACGCCCUGCAUUUGUUCGCAGCCUUAAAACUAUCACUAAAGAAGCACAGAAGACCAGUUGGAGAUAUGGUGUAAUUGAAUGUGACCCACUUGUUCGAAGAGGCCUGGAAAAAACUGCCAGGCACAUGGUCAUCCCUUAUAUGCCGAUGCUAGUCCCCCCUAAUAAUUGGCCAGGGUAUGACAAAGGAGCCUAUUUGUUCUUGUCAUCAUAUGUAUGCGGACACAUGGAGCAAAACAACAACGUGAAGCAGUUAAAAGGACUUCUAGGAAGCAACUGGAACCUGUUUUAGAGGCCCUGGAUACACUUGGAAAUACCAAAUGGAGGGUGAACAAAAGGGUGCUUAGUGUGAUAGAGGAUCCUUUCAGUGUUUGACAACAUGUAUUAGUCUUGCAGAAGCAUUGAGAAGCCCCUCUUCGAAGACAACUCUUUCACAUAUGCCUGUCCACCAGGUUGGAGAGAAAGACAGUUAAGAGGAAAAGAGUUUUUGCUCGAACAUAUUGUUCACCUUCUUGCCAAUGAGCAAUCACAACUUCGUGUUCUUGAAGAAGCUGAACCCAAAUAGUGACUUUUGGCAGUCUAAACUGUUGCUUUGAAUAUCAAACUUCUUCUGAUGUGGCCCCCAGGGCAGGAGCAAAAACAAUACAUUGCAAGAGUUAUUGGGGCAUUUCCCGAGCAUGAGAAAGUUGUAGAUGCCAAUAUAAAUUAUAAUGCCCGGGAAGGAAAGAGCACAGCAGAGGAUAGGUUGAUGCUACAUUUUCUAUAGCUUUCAUAUGAUAAUAGUCCGUUAUUAGUUUGUUUUGAUGUCUGCUGAGAGGUGCUCAACUCCUCUAGUGGCACUGCAGUAAAAGGGAAGGUUGCUUGUACCAACUUCACUAGAAUUAGUACCAAUGGAAUUCAUAGCAUUGUCUCAUGCCAUCCAAUCACUGGAAGAACUCAUCAAGUAAGUUCACCAAGUUAAGAAAAUGCCAUGAACACGUUUUAUUCACUGACCAUACUACAAAACCCGUGUUGCAUAAUAAAUUUGGUGGUUAAUUAUUUGAUGUGCGCGCUUUCUUUAAUUUAUUUUCUAGGGCUCACAUGCGUAAUACUCUAGUGAACUAAAUAUUUCAAUGUUAAAAGUUAAGCUUGCACUGAUAAUUUGGACAUAAAUUCUUGAGGUAGUGAUCCUACUAUGCAUAUUUUUCCGUUGUUUUAGCUUGAAAAAGCUAAGUAAAUAAAAGUUUAAUGACUUUAUGUUACUCACUCAUUCUAUUUCUUUUAUGUAGAAACGUGUUCAUAUGUGUUCCUCUAUAUAUGAAGGUUUAUAUAAUUAAAGUCGUGUGUAUUGAAGUUGUUAACAUUAUAUAUAUACAUUUUUUGGAGUAAAGCAUUUGAUGUAAGUUUUUAAAGUAUUUAUUGGACUUUAUUAGAGUGUUCUACUAUAUGAGUUCAACAUAGCCAUUAGUUUUGUUUUAACUGUCAUUAGUGAUACAUCUUUUGCUGUUGGUUAAUACAUGUGACAGUGAGAAUCCAUUUCUUACUGCUUUGGCUUCUCUUUUGUGAUUUCUUGCUAUAUAUAAUGAAACUUAUAGGGUAACUCUUGAUGGUAUAUUCUGUUGCGCUAUGUGUUUUAUUUCUGCUGUAAUUGUUGUAGUAGUUAUAACAUAUAUAUCAUAGGAAAAGUAGUGUUCUAAAGGGUGUAUACACUCCCACUACAAUAGGGGCUGGGCAUUUUCUCAGUCCAUUCCCUCUCUCAGUCACUCAGGUAUGGAGAUUGCUUUUUUAUUUUAUAUUUUAAUUUCUUUUCUGUUUUUUUCUUUCUUUCUUUUGUUUUGGUGAGUUUUGUGCAAUAACUAUUUCAGGUUAUAUAAUGAGCGGUUAGGUAUGAGAUAUGGGCGAAAUCCAUACUGGAGCUUUCCGUGGACUUCUCAUAUUACAGGUUUUAAUUUUCAGUUUGUUAAUUAUAUAUGUAUAUUUAUUUAUGCUUACCAUUCAUUAUUUGAAAAUUAUUCUCAAGUGAUGAUGAUGUGUUUACUUGUUCCGUCAUUGUGCGAGAUUGACCACAAAGAUGUACCAUUUGUUACUUUAAUGGAUGUUCUUACCUAUCGAGAGGGGGAUUCCCGAGACAUUUUGCAUCUUAGAAAAGGCCUCCUGAAAGUAGUUUUGGGUCAUCUUGAGUGGCAGGAAUGGGCAUCUGAGCAUUGUUCAGCACCUUUUCGAGCUCCUGAGUUGUGGGAUUGUCCAAGUAAUGCAGAUAUUGAUGAGAGAACUGAUAUUUGGUCAUUAGGAUGCACUUUAUAUGCGAUAAUGUGAUAAUGUUUUUUACCAUGUGAUUUAAGAUUUAUUGGUUUAAGUUUUCGGGUCUUUGUCUCCUGAGAGCUAUAAUAUAAUUUGAUGACAGUGUUGAAUGUUUUGAACUAAUUUGUGGAUUGUUAAUACAAUGUUGAAUGCUUUUUACUUUU